rnacentral:lncRNA from 1 species
CUCCCUACUAGGUAUGGCCCCUGAGGCCAUGUUUGUAUGCUUUGACUCCUGCCCCUCCAGCUUCCCGGAGGGGAUACCCCAAAAUGAAGGCCUCAGAAGCAACUGAGACUGACUGAUCCAGGAAUGCCUAUCUGAUCCAAGUAGGCCAAUCAGGUCCUUUGUCUGGGGCUUGGGAAUCUGCAUUCCACUGGCUGGGACUGGCCCCUGAACUGAGAACAGGGAUAGGGAAGCUGGCCCAGAGAGAGGAAGGUGAGUGCAAAUUCACACAGCAAACAAGCGUCAGAGCCAGAGCCUGGGGAUUCUCCUCGCCCGCCCAGAUCUCCUCGGAACCUUCACCUUCCUCUUGGGCCCUGGAAAUGAGGCAUGUGCGCGCCUCCUCCGUGCACCCAGGGCCAGGCGUUGAAGACGGAAGGGGCGAUUCCUGCGGGUGUUCUUCUCGGAGCUGAGGUUGGCACGCACCAGUUUGUCCACCGGGGGGCACUACGGAGCCGAGCUAGGAGAGCGCGCGGGCUCCCGGAGCCUCCCAGCCCUGAUUGAUCCGCACUUGAGCCCGGCGGGAAAACAGGUGUCCCGAGAGGAGAGGAACUAGCCAGACGUCACCCUGAGAACUAGAGACAGAGCUGGCACUUGACGCGGACCUCCUGACACCAGUCAGGUGCACUCUCCCGGCGUCUAAGCGCGUCCCUCCCCCUCUUCCGGGGGCCGGGCUGCUACUUCUUUUCCUGUCAACUGGGGUCAGCGAAGGCCCUCCUGGGCCAGGCUGUGCAGAACCACAGCUCUGUCUGGCAUGGCAUUGCACCUCCACUGGACAGUGGCCGGUGCUGAGCGACACAUGCCUCAUUCCCUCUCUGUCCAGGGCCGCUCCCCACCCCGCCUUCUUCUUCUUCUUCUUCUUUUUUUUUUUGGAAACGGAGUCUUGCUCUGUCACCCAGGCUGGAGUGCAGUGGCGCGACCUCGGCUCACUGCAAUCUCUGCCUCCUGGGUCCAAGCCAUUCUCCUGCCUCAG